ACAAUGUAGUCUUUCCUUAUCCAGAUGAUUUAAGAAAGGCUCUCGUAAUCCUCUGGUGAUGGCUCAGAUUUGGCUACAAAAUUGUCGGUUUUCAAUAGAGUAAAGACAAACUGCAGAAGACCAAUAUGACUUUGCAGCCUCAAGUCUCCAUAAGUUGUUCCAGAACCGGAGACAGUCUGCUGGCUGACAUCCCACCGCCUUGGACAAGAUGCCUGGGCAUAGGGAUACAUUAUGGAGUGUCAGCGCCGGCGGCCGCAACAAACAGGACGAGGAGACCAGCGGUUGCGGGUGACGAAAGGUGAAGUAGGAUCUGAGAACAAAGAAAUGAGAAGUCUCGUGUGGAGAUGUCAGACAGAGUUCUCCAGAGUCACUUGCGGAGUGUCUUGCUGGGUGUUUAUUGUGGUGAAGAGGAAAAUUUUUCAAAAUAGAGGAAGUAAAUAAAA